GUGCUUCUUGUGUUUGAACUGAAGCCGUGGAUCACUCAUAACCUGGUCUGUGUUUGUAUGCUGAAUUAUUUCCGGAUAGGACAGAGGUGCAAUGUUUACAUCCAUGGCAGAAGGUUCUUUAACACUGAACUCAUCAAAGGUCCUUGGACUCAAGAGGAAGAUGACAAAAUUAUUGACCUUGUAAACAAGUAUGGACUAACAAAAUGGUCGUAUUGCAAGUUAUUUCUUUUGAUUGUUUUAUUUUUAUAUGGUUUGCUGAAAU